AAGAAAUAUAUUAUUUUAAUUUACAAUUUUUUUCUCAAAAUUUAAUCCUCAUUUGAAUUAACCAAAUGCAAUAAACUAAAACAAUUACAAGAUUCUAGAACGCAAUGGACGGCUGAGAUGACAUCUUUAUAACAACUCAAUUGACGACUGAGAUGAGAUCUUGAUAUGAACACAAUGGACGGCUGAGAUGACAUCUUUAUAACAACUCAAUUGACGGCUGCGAUGACAUCUUGAUAAGAACACAAUGGACAGCUGAGAUGACAUCUUUAUAACAACUCAAUUGACGGCUGAGAUGAGAUCUUGUAAAAACACGAUGGACGGCUGCAAUCAAUUGUUCGUCGUCUUCUUCGAGCCUUUCUCCUCCUAAACCCCUCCCUAAAAGGCUAAACCCCUAAAUUCAAAUCCGUCAAUGUUUCUCUCUAAAACCGUAAUCGGACGAUCGUUCUCAGACAUCACCCUUCGCUUCUUCUUCAGAUUCACUUCUUGGCGAUAAAGCUUUAACCUUUCUCAGACAUCACCCUCACCUCUGCAAAUUUCACUGCAGAAACAGCUUCGAAUCUUCUCUUCAAAUCUCAGAACGAUCAAGAAUUGGUUCUAAAGUUCCUAAAUUGGGCAAAACCACAUCGAUUAUCACUCUCCGUUGCAAAUGCAUCAUUCUCCACAUCCUCACCAAAUUCAAACUCUACAAAACAGCUCAAUCCCUCACGGAAGAUGUCGCGGCCAAGACCCUAGACGACGAAGAUGCUUCCCUCGUCUUCAGAUCGCUAAAGGAGUCUUACGAUUUGUGCAAUUCCACUUCCUCUGUUUUCGAUUUGAGAAGGGAGGAUGAAGGAGACAAGUUUUGUACUUACGGAGAUGAAUGAGAAAGGAUAUUCGCUUGAUGAAGUCACUUGAAAUACGCUUAUUAAAGGUCAUUGUAAAGAAGGUAACUUUCAUCAAGCUCUUGUGAUGCAUGCAGAGAUGUUGAGACAUGGGUUGUCACCUAGUGUUAUCACUUACUUAUACUUCACUAAUACAUAGUAUGAGUAAGGCUGGGAAUAUGAACCUGGAUACCGAAAGGCUGGGAAAUAGUAUGUGUAAGGCUGGAAAUUGAAAGUGAAACAAAGGUUAGGAUGUGAGAAUUACAACAGAAAUACAAACUCUUGCUUUUCUCUGUUUGUAAAAAAUGCAACCUUGUUAUGUUACAUGAAUACAAAGUUCUUAAGUCGUUUCUCAUCAUAGGGAUUAAAGGUUACAUGAAUACAAAUUCUUCAAGAAUCUCCUACCCCGAGAAAAUCGAUAAAUUCCGGGGUUUUUCUGAUCAUUACAUCUGCUGCUUCUGGUGAUGAUGAUGGUUGGGAGAUGGAGAGCUCUGUGGAUAGUGCCAAGGAACCACUUGCCGGGAAGAUAGGGAAGUGAUGGUGAUGACCAGAGAGUUGCACUGGCAUGCGAGGAUGAGGAUAGAGUGAAAGGUGUCUUGUCAAUCGUUGGAUCGAGCUGGUUAAACCACCUAAAUCUGCAACUCUUACCUGUUCUUGCUUCCAUCUUCUCUGCAAUGAGAUCCCAAUUCUCAAGACCGUAAGCCUCCACGAGCUCUAUGAGUUUGAGAUCUUGUGACUGUGUCCAGUGUCCUUUACUACCACGAUAUGGACUCUUUCUCUCCUCUUGUUGUGUCUCUCUCAAUGGUAAUGCAUUGUUUGCUCCAACCCCAUUAACUGGUCUCUGUAAUAAACAUCAUAAGUGUAUCUUAUUUAAAACGAGUCUCCUCCAAAACUAAUAAGAGAGAAUUGAAAAAAAAAUACACACACACAUAUGUUAAGAACAGUUUCAGUCUUUUGACUUGUUUAUAAUAUCAAUUCAAAAGAUGUU